CUAUGGUCAAAAUUUGUCUUAAAAAAAGUUAGAUUUUGGAACUGAUACACAAAUUAAGAAGCUUAAGAGUUGAUUUUCUAUUUACAAGGUAAAAUAAAUACAGUCAAGCUCUUCUAUGGUGAAAAUUGUGGUAUUAAAAACUGUUCUCAAAUACUCUAAUUUUAAAGUGAACAGAGUGUGUUUAGGACACAUAAAAAGCAACUAAACAAGCAAAACACUAGAGACGCACAGUAUAUAUAAUAUUCUUUAAAAACUUCCUUUAUAAAAAGAAAUGUUUGUUGAGUUGAAGAGGACUGAUUUGCCUAAAUGCUGAGUUUCCCAUCUGUACAGUAAACUUCCUUAUGUGGCAUGAAGUCAUAAGUGAUUAAGGAAUCUCAUCUGGGACCUGGAAAAGCAAAGCUGGAAUCGACAAGACAGGCGGGAGGAAUUUCUUGGCUCCCUUUCUGGAGAAUCGGCAUUGCAAGACUGGUAAAGGAAAACCCAGAUCCUAUUAUUAGCCAGGAGUUCAAAACUAGCAAGUUUAUUCAAUCAGUUCCAGUUCAGCUGUAUCUGAAAUUUCCUCCCAUCUCUUCCUCCACCGGUCCAGUGUUGAUCAGGUCCUCACAUUCUUUGAAGCAAUACUCCAUGUGUCCUGAGAUGAGUGCUGGUUUGGGUUUACAUACCAAGGUUUUGGUAGUGGGGGGCUGCAGGGAUGUCCUCUAUGAGAAGAGUCCAGAAGCUGCCCCAUGUUAGAUAAGGAUCAGUUUCAGGGGGCUCCAAAGGCUCCACUGCUGCCCAGAGCCAAGCCAAUAAGCGAUGUGUCAUAAAUCCUACCCAAAUAAGUGCUUUCAAGAUGUCUGAUAACAUGAAAUACUAACCUUAAUGGCAUUACUUGAUCUUCUUGAAUUCAGGCUCUGACUGGGAUAUUUCAGUCGCUAUACAAGUUAAGCUUUUCCUCAUGGUAAUUGUUAUUAUUAUCUUGGUAAGAAAAAAAAAAAGAGUAGGUUGAAAUCCUUUCUAACUCAAUUUAAAAUUGUAUGCACAUACAUAUUUCUUUGAUAGUCCAGGCAAAAGACUUUGGCCCAUAAAUUUUAUUUCCAGCAUUAUAAUUUUUAGCAAAUGCUUCCUUAAAUUACAGCAUGCAGGUCUAGAUUUCAAACCUGUGUUUCUAUAAGCAAAUUUUGCUGCAAAAGUAAACAAGAUAAUGGUAGAUUUGUGGGUUAAUAUGUUGUAUGGUUCAGGAACACACUGUAUAACAUAAUUGUUUGAAUUUUGCAUAUGUUUAUAGAUAGAUUAAUUUAUAGGUUUGAUUGAAUGUGCUCUCUGUUGUGAUGCAAGAUUUGCAUAACUAAGAUUUAGAUUCAGUUGAUAUGUCAAUUUACUUUGCGUACCUACUUGCAAAAAAUAGUGAGAUUAUGCAGUGAAAUUAUAUAGAGUGAUGCAGAUUAUUUUUCCCCAAAUUGCACCGGUGGUUUCCAAUUAUUGCUUAAAUGUUCCUAUAUACUGUGCCAGCCACAAAGUAAUGUUCCUAAAUUCAUAUUCACCUCUUAAACAAAAAAUAAAAUAAAAAUAUGGAAGACUUCA
rnacentral:lncRNA from 1 species